rnacentral:rRNA from 1 species
UACGUAGGGGGCAAGCGUUGUCCGGAAUCAUUGGGCGUAAGGAGCUCGUAGGCGGCUCAGUAAGUCGGAUGUGAAAACUCGGGGUUCAACCCCGAGACGCCAUCCGAUACUGCUGUGGCUUGAGUCUGGUAGGGGAACACGGAAUUCCUGGUGUAGCGGUGAAAUGCGCAGAUAUCAGGAGGAACACCGACGGCGAAGGCAGUGUUCUGGGCCAGUACUGACGCUGAGGAGCGAAAGCGUGGGUAGCAAACAGG